CGAGCGGAAAGGCCCUUUCGGGGGUACUCGAGCGGCGAACGGGUGAGUAACACGUGAGCAACCUGCCCUGGACUUUGGGAUAACCCUCGGAAACGGGGGCUAAUACCGGAUAUGAUCGCCUCUCGCAUGGGGGGUGGUGGAAAGUUUUUCGGUCUGGGAUGGGCUCGCGGCCUAUCAGCUUGUUGGUGGGGUGAUGGCCUACCAAGGCGACGACGGGUAGCCGGCCUGAGAGGGCGACCGGCCACACUGGGACUGAGACACGGCCCAGACUCCUACGGGAGGCAGCAGUGGGGAAUAUUGCACAAUGGGCGGAAGCCUGAUGCAGCGACGCCGCGUGAGGGAUGACGGCCUUCGGGUUGUAAACCUCUUUCAGCAGGGACGAAGCGUGAGUGACGGUACCUGCAGAAGAAGCGCCGGCCAACUACGUGCCAGCAGCCGCGGUAAGACGUAGGGCGCGAGCGUUGUCCGGAUUUAUUGGGCGUAAAGAGCUCGUAGGCGGCUUGUCGCGUCGACUGUGAAAACCCGCGGCUCAACCGCGGGCCUGCAGCCGAUACGGGCAGGCUAGAGUUCGGUAGGGGAGACUGGAAUUCCUGGUGUAGCGGUGAAAUGCGCAGAUAUCAGGAGGAACACCGGUGGCGAAGGCGGGUCUCUGGGCCGAUACUGACGCUGAGGAGCGAAAGCGUGGGGAGCGAACAGGAUUAGAUACCCUGGUAGUCCACGCUGUAAACGUUGGGCGCUAGGUGUGGGGA
rnacentral:rRNA from 1 species